CCCGAGGGGAAGAUGCGCCUUUUCCUUGGUGGCCAGAGUGCAGCCUGUGAGAAAUCGGAGGAGGACGAGAAUGGUGACCCUAUCCAGGGAUACUCCCAGGUACAUGAAAAGUUACAGUAAUAAAUGACGGGAACACCCUAAAAAUCUACCAAGGAGGGAUGAAUAAGAUGCAGAGUGGUGAGGUAUCUAUUGGACAUCUAGACAAAGGGGUCACCAAGUGACUUGGUAAAGUUCCUGCCCUCAAGGGGACGCGGAUCAGCAGGCGGCCGUCAGACGCCAGCAGGACAGCGCUGCAGGAACGCACCAGCGGCUAGUGCCGUCCCGGGAGGCAGGAGAAGAGAUGUUUAGGUGUGAAACAGACGAGAACGUGGCUUCUCUGGGAAGUUCGAUCAGCAGAGACCAUGGGCAGAGGGCAGAAGGAGGACCAACGAGCCAUCAUGUGACGCGGACAGGGUGGGAUGGCGUUGCUGCCAGGGUUAGGACAGAGGCCGCCGAGGGAGUGAUGGGAGUGCUGCAGACGUAAGGACCUGAGGCACUGAUCUGAAGGCUGAUGGUGCGCGGGUCCUGGAGUUUGGGCCGUCCUCACCAGUGAAGGGAAGUCUCAUCGACCUUUGGCCUUCGAGGAGCAAGGCAGGAGCCGCUGUUUCGCUUUGCUCACAGCUGCAUCAGUGGAUUUGGUGGACGCGAUUUUGACUCAGGGAGGAAUUAGGUGCUUUUUUGUUCGUAGCAGCGGUAUUGAGGUAUAAUAAUCACUAUU